rnacentral:lncRNA from 1 species
CAGCCAGCAUCCCACUGCUCACCCGCCGUGCCGCUGCGCCUCUCGCUCCGGCUGUGCUUUCCCCGGUGGCCACUCACGAACUCACUUCCGGCUCUGUCCGUCUGUGGCGUCCCCUCAUCUGCCCUCCGAUGUCGACACUAAGGUGUCUGCAAGUUCCGAGGCUGGUGAGUUCCGGGUGCCUUGCUGUCUGCUUCCUGUUGGGAGCAGCAGGGGCUCCCCAAGUCUCCAUUGUGUCUCCAAAAAAUCAUCCGGAGAAGACAUUAAUGACGAUUGUCAGUAUGAUUACGAGAACUGAUGAAAAUAUGCAAUUAAUGAUUAAAAUAAAAAUGUAAAGUUU